GACGAACGCUGGCGGCGUGCUUAACACAUGCAAGUCGAGCGAGGCCCUUCCUUCGGGAAGGUGUCCUAGCGGCGAACGGGUGAGUAACACGUGGGCAACCUGCCCUCAGCUCUGGGAUAACUCCGGGGAAACCGGGGCUAAUACCGGAUACGACCUCAUGGGGCAUCCCUCGAGGUGGAAAGUUUUUCGGCUGAGGAUGGGCCCGGCCGGCCUAUCAGCUUGUUGGUGGGGUGACGGCCUACCAAGGCGACGACGGGUAGCCGGCCUGAGAGGGUGACCGGCCACACUGGGACUGAGACACGGCCCAGACUCCUACGGGAGGCAGCAGUGGGGAAUAUUGCGCAAUGGGCGAAAGCCUGACGCAGCGACGCCGCGUGAGGGACGAAGGCCUCGGUUGUAAC
rnacentral:rRNA from 1 species